AGCAAUGUAAUAGUGAUGUAAUGGCCAUGGAAAUUAUUCUUUCACAUCUCUAAAUAGUUAAAAAACUACCCAAACACUAGCAACAAGAUUUAGCCAGAUGAACCUCUUGCUUCCCUCUUACGAAGUUAUUAAAGGUGGGUCACUGACCUAGGUGGUUUCUGUGGAGCUGUUGAUGUGCUUCUGGGAUCAACCGUCUCGUUCUUCACAUUUCAUAUUCCCAGUGCAUUGGAUCGUUGUGUGAUGGGGAUAACAGCAGUUGAGAUUCUAAACGCUUGUGAUGAAGCUGUUCCUGCUGCUGUUGAUUCACUUAGUCAUCCAGCAGUCAACCUAAAACAAGCUAUGACGAGACGUAGUCUUGCUGCUCUUAAAAAUAUGGCCCAUCAUAAGCUACAAACCCUUGCAACUAACCUCUUGGCUUCUGAGGCAUCUGACAAGGGAAAUUUACCUAAAUAUUCUCAUAACUCCCUGAUGGUUCAAGCAAUAAAGACAAACCUAACAGACCCGGACAUACAUGUGCUAUUCUUUGAUGUGGAAGCGUUGAUUAUUCAACU
rnacentral:lncRNA from 1 species